GAGGAGAGGGGACAUUUCCAACAAAACAAGUGACUGCACAAAGGAGUGGGGAAGGGGCUGGACCCAGGCCCUAGGGACUCCAGAGCUCUGCCCUUUGUCCUGUUCCAGGCGGCUCCCCGAGGACUGGGCUGGGUGGAGCUGGCAGGAAGGGAUGCUGAGGUUGCCAGCAACUCGCCAGGAAUCCCUGGCAGAGGGCACUGGGGCAGGGGUAGGCCCACUGGGGCCGUGGGUAAGGACUAGGGGAGAGGUAGGGCAGAGGGGAUUUGGCUUUGGGUGGUGUCCCACUGACUGGGCACUGGACCUUUCUUUGCCCUGAAGAGUUUCUGGACAGCUGAAUCCGACUCCUGGGGACUGAGCAGGGGGGUUUUGAGCCUAGAGAAGGAAGAUCGGAGCUUCCUGGGGCUCCUGUGAAGCAGGCAGGGGGCAGCACUGGGCCCCGGGAAGAGGCGGAGAAGGCGAGGGAGUGCCUGCGGUGAGCCCAGAGCCUUGGGCCCGUUAUCCUCUGAUGCUGCUCCCCCAACUUUCCUGCCGUCAGUCCCUGACCUUGCCUGAGACCUUGGCGGCUCCCGCACCUCUCUCCCGGCUCCUCCUUGCUGAGAACACAACCCGCAAGGCCCUUCCGCCUGGCUGGACUGAGUCCCCUAUGGAGGCAGCCUGGCAGGGAGCAGGUAUCUUCCUGGCAGAAGAGGACAGACCUGGUAAACUGAGAGACUGUUGAUGCCCCAAUGUUCUGCCUAGCCUGCCUGGAAACUCCAGAAGGCUUCUGCUUUGUAAUCAUACGGACAGUUGUGCUUGUCAGAGUUAACGGUGAAGUCCACAAAACAAAUUUCCACAUCGGCAGUCAAACCUGUAAGACCAACUUUCUUUCUGCACAUGAAACAUCUGUUUUUCUUUGGUUUGGGCAAUUCAGGAGCUUUUUCUUUACUCUGAGAAGUACUGGGCUGAAAAACUGAUGGGCUGGGCUGAGUGACAACUGGCUCUCACACCUCUGUUUUCGGGGUAGUUAUUUUGUCCUCUGUUGAAAUGCUCAUUUCUGUCAUUUGCUGAGUUACAGGCAAGGCAGCCGCAGGCACAUUUCUUGAUUUUUCAGAUGUGCUGCCAGCAGCACCUUCACAGUUGUUUAAGCUAGUGUCUGCUCUCUGUACAGAUGCAGAAUCUGAGGUAGGACUGUUGGAACCACUAGCUGUCCCCAUUGGGCUCAUUCUGCCACUAUUCUGCUGCCUCUGAAGAUGUUCUUUGUAGCAAACUGAACACAUUCCAUUUGUCCUAGGAUUUCCAUAAAAGCCACAUCCUGUGCUACACAGCAUGGGCCCCGGGGUCUGGUUAGUCUCCUGAGCCAUAUUUUUCUGCC
rnacentral:lncRNA from 1 species